rnacentral:rRNA from 1 species
GACGAACGCUGGCGGCGUGCCUAAUACAUGCAAGUCGAGCGAAUCAACAGGAGCUUGCUCCUGUUGGUUAGCGGCGGACGGGUGAGUAACACGUGGGCAACCUGCCUGUAAGACUGGGAUAACACCGGGAAACCGGUGCUAAUACCGGAUAAUCCUUUUCCUCCCAUGAGGAAAAGCUGAAAGUCGGUUUCGGCUGACACUUACAGAUGGGCCCGCGGCGCAUUAGCUAGUUGGUGAGGUAACGGCUCACAAAGGCGACGAUGCGUAGCCGACCUGAGAGGGUGAUCGGCCACACUGGGACUGAGACACGGCCCAGACUCCUACGGGAGGCAGCAGUAGGGAAUCUUCCACAAUGGGCGAAAGUCUGAUGGAGCAACGCCGCGUGAGCGAUGAAGGCCUUCGGGUCGUAAAGCUCUGUUGUUAGGGAAGAACAAGUACCGGAGUAACUGCCGGUACCUUGACGGUACCUAACCAGAAAGCCACGGCUAACUACGUGCCAGCAGCCGCCGUAA